UAGGGAAUUGUUCGCAAUGGGCGCAAGCCUGACGACGCAACGCCGCGUGGAGGAUGAAGACUUUCGGGUCGUAAACUCCUUUCGACUGAGAUGAAAAUUCGUUGACCUAACACGUCGACGAACUGACAGUAUCAAGGGAAGAAGCCCCGGCUAACUCCGUGCCAGCAGCCGCGGUAAUACGGGGGGGGCAAGCGUUGUUCGGAAUUACUGGGCGUAAAGGGUUCGUAGGUGGCCUACUAAGUCAGACGUGAAAUCCCUCAGCUCAACUGGGGAACUGCGUCUGAGACUGGAAGGCUUGAGUGCAGGAGAGGAACGCGGAAUUCCAGGUGUAGCGGUGAAAUGCGUAGAUAUCUGGAGGAACACCGGUGGCGAAGGCGGCGUUCUGGACUGUUACUGACACUGAGGAACGAAAGCCAGGGGAGCAAACGG
rnacentral:rRNA from 1 species